rnacentral:rRNA from 1 species
GACGAACGCUGGCGGCGCGCCUAACACAUGCAAGCCGAACGGAGUUAUUUGAAAGCUUGCUUUUGGAUAACUGAGUGGCGGACGGGUGAGUAACGCGUGAGUAACCUGCCUUAAAGAGGGGGACAACAGUUGGAAACGACUGCUAAUACCGCAUAAGCCCACGACCCGGCAUCGGGUUGAGGGAAAAGGAGCAAUCCGCUUUGAGAUGGCCUCGCGUCCGAUUAGCUGGUUGGUGAGGUAACGGCCCACCAAGGCAACGAUCGGUAGCCGGACUGAGAGGUUGAACGGCCACAUUGGGACUGAGACACGGCCCAG